rnacentral:lncRNA from 1 species
GUCCUGUCAAUCUCGAUCUGAACUGUGUUGCUAGGUGAAGAUUCCAACUUCCUGGGCAGAGGGUCAUGUAGUGGAAUAGAGCUGUACCUGGCUUCAGGCGAGACUUGGCAACUCCAAAAUGGAAGUACUAUUGUUAUCUCCGUUUACAAAUUAGGAAACUGAGGCACAGAUAUGCUCUUGGGUACUUGUCAGCAGCAGUUGUUCUACAAGUAAGGCUAAAUAUCUGGAUAUCUUAAAUCUCAGAUGAGCGUCUUAGCCUCUGGAUUACUGCUCAAUGAGGAAAGCUAUGAAAUGCAUGGAUAACUUGCUAAUCAGUAUUUGCCAUAUGUGCUAGCAGCAUCAGCAUCAGUUGGGAGAUUAUGGUGGCCUCCAUGUCAGACCUCCUAAAUCGGAAUAUCAGAGAAGGUGGCCCAGGUUACCAUGCUUCAUCUGCCAAUGCAUUGAAAACUUGGAAUGUAAAUUAAUUCAACCAUUGUGGAAGAUGGUGUAGUGAUUCCUCAAAGACCUAGAAGCAGAAAUAUCAUUUGAUCCAGAAAUCCCAUUACUGUGUAUACACCCAAAGGAAUAUAAACCAUUCUAUUACAAAGAUACAUGCGUGCGUAUGUUCAUUGCAGCAUUAUUCACAAUAGUAAAGACAUAGAGUCAACCCAAAUGCCCAUCAAAGACAAACAAUAUGUGGUACAUAUACACCAUGGAAUACCAUGCACCCAUAAAAAGGAACAAGAUCACAUUUUUUGUAGGGAC